AACCCGUAGAUCCGAUCUUGUGGUGAAGUACAGCGUGCAAGCUCGCUUCUAUGGGUCUG
rnacentral:pre_miRNA from 1 species